rnacentral:lncRNA from 1 species
UUUAAUUAUAAGUCUCUUAGUAAGCAAGAUUUAAGAUAUAUUUAAUACAGACUUAUAAGAAUAAUAUUAGUCUUAAUUUUUGUUUGAGAUUUUUUUUAUUUUCAUGGAUAUGAUGGAUGGCCGCUAAAUUCUAGCAGCAACCUCUGUUUAAGUUUAUAGGCACCGGAAGGCUGCUGCACUAUAGCGGCAACCGUGCUUCAAAAUUUUCUGUGGGGAUAGUAAGACUACUAUAUCGUGCCAGCAACUGUGUCUGGAUCCUCUAACUGUCCUUCCCCUCAAAAUAAUAUUAUAAAACAAGGAGCGGAAGGCUGUUGUUAUUAAAAUAGUGACCCU